rnacentral:rRNA from 1 species
CCUACGGGAGGCUGCAGUGGGGAAUAUUGGACAAUGGGCGAAAGCCUGAUCCAGCAACGCCGCGUGAGGGAUGACGGCCUUCGGGUUGUAAACCUCUUUCACCUAUGACGCGGUAAUAGGAGAAGAAGCACCGGCCAACUACGUGCCAGCAGCCGCGGUAAUACGUAGGGUGCUAGCGUUGUCCGGAAUUAUUGGGCGUAAAGGGCUCGUAGGCGGUCUGUCGCGUCGAAAGUGAAAACUCAGGGCUUAACCCUGAGCCUGCUUCCGAUACGGGCAGACUAGAGGUAUGCAGGGGAGAACGGAAUUCCUGGUGUAGCGGUGAAAUGCGCAGAUAUCAGGAGGAACACCGGUGGCGAAGGCGGUUCUCUGGGCAUUCCUGACGCUGAGGAGCGAAAGUGUGGGGAGCGAACAGGAUUAGAUACCCUUGUAGUC